UCAAUGGUUUAAAAAAGUUAUUAACUAAUACUGUUCUGUAAAAAGUCAGAGUCCUAAACAUUUCAACUCACAUAAAAUCAUAUGAAGAUGUGUUUUUGUUUUAUUUUGUUAAUGAAUAGAGAAAUCAAGUUCAUCUUUAAUGUUUUAAAUAUCAUCGAUCCAUCACCUUUCACCAUCACAGUCUCGCAGUAAAAUCAAUUUCC